rnacentral:rRNA from 1 species
CCUACGGGUGGCAGCAGUGGGGGAUAUUGCACAAUGGGGGAAACCCUGAUGCAGCGACGCCGCGUGUGGGAAGACGGUCCUCUGGAUUGUAAACCACUGUCCCCAGGGACGAAGAUGACGGUACCUGGGGAGGACGCUCCGGCUAACUACGUGCAAGCAGCCGCGGUUAUACGUAGGGAGCGAGCGUUGUCCGGAAUUACGGGGUGUAAAGGGCGCGUAGGCGGGACUGCAAGUUGGGUGUAAAAUCUAGCGGCUCAACCGGUAGACGCACGCAAAACUGGAGUUGUUGAGUGAAGUAGAGGCAGGCGGAAUUCCUAGUGUAGCGGUGAAAGGCGUAGAUAUUAGGAGGAACACCAGUGGCGAAGGCGGCCUGCUGGGCUUUUACUGACGCUGAGGCUCGAAAGUGUGGGGAGCAAACAGGAUUAGAUACCCUUGUAGUC